rnacentral:rRNA from 1 species
CAAAAAGACCCUAUGAAGCUUUACUGUAACUUGAAAUUGAAAUUGGACUUUAUUCGCGCAGUAUAGGUGGGAAGCGUUGAAAAUACUCUUGCGGGAGUAUUGGAGCUAUCAGUGAGAUACCACUCUUGUAAUGUUAGAUUUCUAACUUUGAACCAUUAUCUGGUCAGAGGACAGUUUCAGGCGGGCAGUUUGACUGGGGCGGUCGCCUCCCAAACGGUAACGGAGGCGUACAAAGGUUUCCUCUGAACGUGUAGAAAUCGUAUCUAGAGUGUAAAGGCAUAAGGAAGCUUGACUGUGAGACCUACAAGUCGAGCAGGGACGAAAGUCGGUCUUAGUGAUCUGACGGUACUGAGUGGAAAGGCCGUCACUCAACGGAUAAAAGUUACUCUAGGGAUAACAGGCUGA